UACAGAGGGUGCGAGCGUUGUCCGGAAUCACUGGGCGUAAAGGGCGCGUAGGUGGCGGCCCAAGUCCAUGGUGAAAGCUCGAUGCUCAACAUCGAGUCGGCCACGGAUACUGGGUUGCUCGAGCACUGUAGGGGCAGAUGGAAUUCCGGGUGUAGCGGUGGAAUGCGUAGAGAUCCGGAAGAACACCGGUGGCGAAGGCGGUCUGCUGGGACGGUACUGACGCUGAGGCGCGAAAGCGUGGGGAGCGAACAGG
rnacentral:rRNA from 1 species